UGGUGGAGCGAUUUGUCUGGUUAAUUCCGUUAACGAACGAGACCUCAGCCUGCUAACUAGCUACACGGAGGUGAUCCUCCGUGGCUAGCUUCUUGGAGGGACUAUGGCCGCUUAGGCCAAGGAAGUUUGAGGCAAUAACA
rnacentral:rRNA from 1 species